rnacentral:rRNA from 1 species
AUGAACGCUGGCGGCGUGCCUAAUACAUGCAAGUCGAACGAAACUUCUUUAUCACCGAGUGCUUGCACUCACCGAUAAAGAGUUGAGUGGCGAACGGGUGAGUAACACGUGGGCAACCUGCCCAAAAGAGGGGGAUAACACUUGGAAACAGGUGCUAAUACCGCAUAACCAUAGUUACCGCAUGGUAACUAUGUAAAAGGUGGCUAUACUACCGCUUUUGGAUGGGCCCGCGGCGCAUUAGCUAGUUGGUAGGGUAAAGGCUUACCAAGGCAAUGAUGCGUAGCCGAAUUGAGAGGUUGAUCGGCCACAUUGGGACUGAGACACGGCCCAAACUCCUACGGGAGGCAGCAGUAGGGAAUCUUCCACAAAGGGCGAAAGCCUGAUGGAGCAACGCCGCGUGGGUGAAGAAGGUCUUCGGAUCGUAAAACCCUGUUGUUAGAGAAGAAAGUGCGUGAGAGUAACUGUUCACGUUUCGACGGUAUCUAACCAGAAAGCCACGGCUAACUACGUG